rnacentral:rRNA from 1 species
UACAGAGGCCUCGAGCGUUAGGCGGAAUCACUGGGCUUAAAGCGUGUGUAGGCGGAUGCCUAAGUACCUUGUGAAAUCCCACGGCUCACCCGUGGAACGGCUGGGUAUACUGGGUGUCUUGAGCCACUUAGGGGCUGCCGGAACAAAUGGUGGAGCGGUGAAAUGCGUAGAUAUCAUUUGGAACGCCAAUGGUGAAAACAGGCAGCUGGGAGUGUGCUGACGCUAAGACACGAAAGCCAGGGGAGCGAACGGG